rnacentral:rRNA from 1 species
AUUGAACGCUGGCGGCAGGCCUAAUACAUGCAAGUCGAACGGUAACAUAAAGAAGCUUGCUCUUUGAUGACGAGUGGCGGACGGGUGAGUAAUAUUUGGGAAACUACCUGAUAGAGGGGGGACAACAGUUGGAAACGACUGCUAAUACCGCAUAAAGCCUAAGGGUGAAAGCAGCAAUGCGCUAUCAGAUGUGCCCAAACGGGAUUAGCUAGUAGGUGAGGUAAAGGCUCACCUAGGCGACGAUCUCUAGCUGGUCUGAGAGGAUGAUCAGCCACAUUGGGACUGAGACACGGCCCAGACUCCUACGGGAGGCAGCAGUAGGGAAUAUUGCACAAUGGAGGAAACUCUGAUGCAGCCAUGCCGCGUGUGUGAAGAAGGCCUUCGGGUUGUAAAGCACUUUCGGAGGGGAGGAAAAGAUGACGUUACCCUCAGAAGAAGCACCGGCUAACUCCGUG